rnacentral:lncRNA from 1 species
CAGGACCAUUACACUGGGGACCGGCUUCUCUGCUCUCCCGUUAUGGGGGUCGGGGGAAUGAUGGGUCAAGAGUCUUCCGAAGAAAGCGAGAAAGGAACAGGCGCCUUCAAAAGCCCACUUGGCGAUGGGUUACAGUAAGAGGUACCUCCAGGCCCGGGCAUCCGCUGGAAACAGGGGUGGGUAGGGUCGUGUCCUCUAAAGGCGCAGCCUCAACCAGAAGACUAGAAGUCAGCCAGGAGCUGGGAGUAGUGUCACGCGGGGUGGGGGUUCCUAUGAGCAUCACUUUACAAAACCGGGAGGGACGGAAGUGCGAGGGGGCAGAGUCUUGGAAACAGGUCCUGGGCCAAAUGCAACAGAAUAUACCCGCCGCGUGUAGGGGAAGGCGGCGCCAGGGAGAGGGCGCGGUCUCUGAAUCUUUCCACGGGGUCCAUCCCAGGGCCCCUCCAGGUUCAACGGUCUCCGAACCUGUAGUCACCCACAAGAGCGUGCCCUUUCUGCCCGCCCUUCCUAGCGUUGCUCCCUGCUUGGCUGAGCACUGCAGAGUUUCACGCCUCUAAACCCCGCCUCUUCUUGCAACCUGUGUUGGCCUCAUCUACCCAGCAACUGCGACGUCACACGACCUGGGCCUCCCUGAAUGGGAGAUAUUUACUAGGCAAUCCCGCCUACUGUUCUGAGGUUUCCCCUCCAGAUGCCGCUUCAGAGCCAGGCGAGCCAGGAAGGACCAGCGGGCGAGGUGGAAGUCUGCAUUAUCACGAGGAGCUUGGAAAGGAGGUAACACACUCAAUGCAAAUUUCAAGUAACUCAUCCUGGAGGCAGCUGCCUACUCUGCAGCUGUGGUUCUCCACCACAGAGAGAAGAAAAGGGAGGGAGAUGGAGUGCGCAGGUCUGAGAAGGCUUUCAUUCUGGAGCAUCUGCAGGAGCCUGCACCAUGGCCCAGUAGCACCCCUUUUUCUCCAUGAGCUGCUGGUGGGUUCCCCCCUCCCGGAUAGCGCCUCCUUCCAGAAAGAGGAUGUG